rnacentral:rRNA from 1 species
UGAGGAAUAUUGGACAAUGGGUGCAAGCCUGAUCCAGCCAUCCCGCGUGAAGGAUUAAGGUCCUAUGGAUUGUAAACUUCUUUUAUACAGGGAUAAACCUCUCCUCGUGAGGAGAGCUGAAGGUACUGUAUGAAUAAGCACCGGCUAACUCCGUGCCAGCAGCCGCGGUAAUACGGAGGGUGCAAGCGUUAUCCGGAUUUAUUGGGUUUAAAGGGUCCGUAGGCGGACCUGUAAGUCAGUGGUGAAAUCCUACAGCUUAACUGUAGAACUGCCAUUGAUACUGCGGGUCUUGAGUGUAGUUGAGGUAGCUGGAAUAAGUAGUGUAGCGGUGAAAUGCAUAGAUAUUACUUAGAACACCAAUUGCGAAGGCAGGUUACCAAGUUACAACUGACGCUGAUGGACGAAAGCGUGGGUAGCGAACAGGAUUAGAUACCCUGGUAGUCCACGCUGUAAACGAUGCUAACUCGUUUUUGGAUUUUCGGAUUCAGAGACCAAGCGAAAGUGAUAAGUUAGCCACCUGGGA